rnacentral:rRNA from 1 species
AAACUAACAAGGAUUCCCCUAGUAACGGCGAGUGAAGAGGGAAGAGCCCAAGAUUGAAAGCUGGCGUCUUCGGCGUCCGCAUUGUAAUCUCAAGAAGUGUUUUCCGCUUCGGACCAUGCCUAAGUCCCUUGGAAAAGGGCAUCAUAGAGGGUGAUAAUCCCGUACAUGGCAUGGAGCGCCCGAAGCUUUGUGAUACGCUUUCUAAGAGUCGAGUUGUUUGGGAAUGCAGCUCAAAAUGGGUGGUAAAUGCCAUCUAAGGCUAAAUAUUGGGGAGAGACCGAUAGCGAACAAGUACAGUGAUGGAAAGAUGAAAAGAACUUUGAAAAGAGAGUUAAACAGUACGUGAAAUUGCCAAAAGGGAAGGGUAGGAGGUCAGAGAUGCGGCCUGGGAUUCAGCCUUGCUUUUGCUUGGUGUUUUUCCCAGAUUGCAGGCCAACGUCGGUUUUGGGCACUGGAGAAGGGUAGGAGGAACGUGGCACCUCUCGGGGUGUGUUAUAGCCUCCUACUGGAUACAGCGACCGAGACCGAGGACAGCAGCGUACUCGCAAGAGCGGGCCUUCGGGCACCUUUACGCUUAGGGCGUUGGCAUAAUGGCCCUCUACCACCCGUCUUGAAACACGGACC